GUAUUUCAAUCACCCUUUUUUCGUCCCAGUUUUGAUUCCAAUCUAUGAACAAGGUUCAUAAAAUUGAAACUAAGGUGGAUGAUCUGCACAAGAAUAUACCUUUCAUUUGAAUAUAAGAUUUCUGUCUGAAACAUACGUCUGGAGUUACAAAGUUAGAUGACGCCCUCCAACUGCUUGAUUAAAUGCUUCUAAAGCAAUGGAUUCAUUAGGUGCAGUAGGUCACUAGUUCACUGUGUUGGGAAGCUAAAGAUGCAAGGAGCAUAUGAUUCGCAUAAAGAUAUGUUGAAGGUUGAAGUUGAUAUGGAGAAUACUGAUUAUCUUAUGAUUUUCUUUGUGUUUGAUGCUUCGUUUUAAUGGGAGGUUAGCAUUAUCUCUUCAUAUUUAGACUUCCUUU
rnacentral:lncRNA from 1 species